rnacentral:rRNA from 1 species
GCGGCGGACGGGUGAGUAACACGUGGGUAACCUGCCUGUAAGACUGGGAUAACUCCGGGAAACCGGGGCUAAUACCGGAUGGUUGUUUGAACCGCAUGGUUCAAACAUAAAAGGUGGCUUCGGCUACCACUUACAGAUGGACCCGCGGCGCAUUAGCUAGUUGGUGAGGUAAUGGCUCACCAAGGCAACGAUGCGUAGCCGACCUGAGAGGGUGAUCGGCCACACUGGGACUGAGACACGGCCCAGACUCCUACGGGAGGCAGCAGUGGUCA